GUCCUCUCUGGCCUGCAGUGCCAAGACCGGGCUGAACAGAAGCAGUUGCUUCUCCUCUCCUCCUGCAGCCUGUUUCAAUCCACAAUCCCACCAGCAACCACCAGAAAAGCUCCUGCUGCCUCUCCUUGGGAAAGCACAGCCUUCCCAAGGCCCAGCUGACAGGAAAAGGAUCCCAGUAGCCUGAAACUACGGCUUUCUGACCUUAACUCCUCAGUAUCAUCUUCCGUCCCUCCUGGAGUCUAGCUGGAUUGCAGGGCAGGUUGGACCUGUACUACGGAGAGUGGUUUGGAAGAAAUUCCCUUGGGAUAAGGAGCCUGGCGUUUCCAUCUUCCCAUGAGCAGGGUGACUUGGCAGAGGCCGAAGGGCGUGAGGUAUACAGCCCUGAAGAGGGUGUAGCAAAGAAAAAGUACCAACACUGCUGCAUAUCCACAGUUUCCUGACUGACAACAAAAUUCUCCUGAGUUUGAAGGCAAGACUGCAUUGAUGCGCUUGAAAAAGAAGAGUAAAACACUUGUAAGAGAGAUUGUCAUCAGUAUUUUAUGUGUAAGACUUCAUCUUUAAAGUAAUUAUUGUAAGUAUGAAAGCUCGUGAGUUCUUUGUCCUUUAAAUUUUAAACUGGGAAUGAGAGCUGAACUCUGAUUUUCACCUUUGAAAAUCUGACUUAAAUACCUUAACUAGGUAAUCAAGAAGAGUCAAAGAUGAACUAAGC
rnacentral:lncRNA from 1 species